UACGUAGGGGGCAAGCGUUGUCCGGAAUUAUUGGGCGUAAAGGGCGUGUAGGCGGUUCGGUAAGUUUGGUGUGAAAGUCCAGGGCUCAACCCUGGGGUGCCGGUGGAUACUGUCGGGCUAGAGUGCGGAAGAGGCGAGUGGAAUUCCCGGUGUAGCGGUGAAAUGCGCAGAUAUCGGGAGGAACACCAAUUGCGAAGGCAGCUCGCUGGGACGUAACUGACGCUGAGGCGCGAAAGCGUGGGGAGCAAACAGG
rnacentral:rRNA from 1 species